rnacentral:miRNA from 1 species
AAGCAACAAGAGGGCAGGUCUGA